AUACCUUCUGAUGCUUGGUCUGUUUGUUGGUCUUGUGUUCAGUGCUUACUUCUUGCCAGUUGUAUACACGUGGAGAGGGCAUUUGUAUGCCUGAAAUCUUGUUCUUGAGGUCAGAAUUCAAAAUGUUGGGAGCUUUCGUUCUGGAGAAAAGGUCAGAUCAGAGUGAGUACUGUAAAGGUUAAACUAUGAAUCUAUAUAGCAAAUGGAAAAUUCUUUUAAAAUGUAAACUGGUAGACCACAUUUCCUUCCUCAGCCUAAAAUAUUGGUCAUUUUCCAACAGAACAAACUUCAUGUUUAAAGAGAGAGAGAGGAGGACUGGUCCUUCAACCACUGUGUAGUAGACAAGUUUAACAACCUCAGUACUGGGAGUUAGCCAGCUUUGAACCAGUGGCCAGUGUCUUGAGCUAGGGUUUCUUAGGCCUUUAGAAACCAGCAUAUUAGUUAGGGGUUGUUGUGCUCAUUGGUGCAUUUUUGAGACAAGACAGCUCGGCACAGGGCAUUACUGUGACAAGUUCAUUUACCUGUACUGGUGUAUGACUUAGUUUUCUGGCUGAAUUUCUUUCCCUUCUCCAAACGGAAGAACAGUUUUUUGAACUGCCAUCCAUGUUUCCAAUGUUUUGUGAGGUUGGUGUAACUGGCGAAUUGUAGACAUGCUUAUGUACCAAAGGGAGGGUUUGUGUGGCUUGUUGGCCUGGCCUGGAAGAAUCCAGUUAGGAUGUUUGUGAAGACUUGAGAGUUGCCAAGAAAAUGAAAAAGGAUGCAUUUGAAGGGAUUUCCAUGGGAGCCACACAGGAGCAAAGCAGAUAGCUUAUCUUCAGGCAGGAGGGAAACGGUGAGAAAGGAGAGCAGCCAUGUGGGCUGUAGGACCAUCCAGUAGAUGAAAGUGCAAUCUGUUGGCUCACUGAGGCACUAGCCUGUGUCAGAGCUGCUGAGCUUGUGAGAGGAGAGCAGAGGGGGCUGGAGGUCAGUCAGAGUCAGGGCAAGGGACGGCUGCUUAACCAGUCUGCAUGUAGAAGAGCAGUGGGAGUGGGGUUUCUCGUGACUGCUGUACACACAGCUGCUUUGGGGCAAGAAGACAGCCUUAAAAAUAAUCAUUUGCUACUUGGAGGGGUUUUUGUCAUCUGUUUUUUUGGUUUUUUUGUUUGGUUGUUUUUUUUUUUUUUUUGUUUUUUUUUUUGGUUUUUUUUUCAGAGCUGGGGACCGAACCCAGGGCCUUGCGCUUCCUAGGCAAGCGCUCUACCACUGAGCUAAAUCCCCAACCCCUUGUCAUCUGUUUUUAAACAAGAGUUUUUGUUAGAAAUUCUGCUGAAUUCUGCAUUUUGCCAAGUUUCAACACUUGAAUUUCCUGAUCUCUCUCCACUGGUGCCCAGACAUGAACCCCAAUAUCUGCUGAGCACUUUUGAAACUGGGGAGUAGGUACCUUCUCAAGCGCUUCAGCCUCCUGGCUGUACCCAGCUAGGUGGGAAGGAAAUCCUACUCUGGCUAGGGUAGGGAGUUCAGUAAGCUCCUGCAUUGGCAGGAGACCUCACUGUCACUUGAACUUGUCUUUCCUAGUGUGUGGGGUGUGCUCAGUUUAGCAGAGACUUGUAACCUCCUAAAGGCAAAAGUAUGCUUCUGAGGGGGGCGUAAGAAAACAGCAAUAGCCAGGACAUUUCCCACUUGACGCUAAAGAAACGCCUUUGUAAAAAGAAGUUUUCCCAAACAUGUAGUUGGCCGCUAUCUGCCAAGUAUGCUGUGGACAUUGUGUGUUCGUCUACUGGCUCCCGGCUGGCCACAGCAGAAUGUUGGGAUUCGUAUUGCGCCUGCCUACUUUGUGAGUGUAAGGGUUGCUGGCAUUAGACUCUGGCCAGGGGAUCCUCUCUUCCAGCAAGCAAACCUUAGACCUUUUCUCAGCAGAAUGUAGUUGCGUAACAUUAGAUUUGAAUUCUUAAUUAUUCCAGUUGGUAAAGGUAUUUGGAGAAAAGUGUUUGCUGCGUCCAGUGGCCUUUUCCUAACAGUGCUGUCAGAAAUGGUGAACCCUGACAAGAUGAAAAGUUCACUUUGUCCUUGCUGUGGUUAAAAGAACAUGCCCCGACCACUUUGAAAUGUUACUUCAAGGCGAAUGUAUCAUACCUGUCUUACUUUGCUUCUCUCUUGAUUUACCACAGUUUGUUCAGUUACGUUUUCAUGAAUUACCAGGAGUAAAUUUGAACAAACACAUGUGAAUAACUUCCUGUAAAUGUGUUUUAUAACAAGAGUGUGCUAAACUAUUUUCUAAAAUUACUUGUGCACUUUGGGGAUUUUUCUGUAGCUUGUGUUUUGUAUGCUCUGGAUUCAUAACUGGACUUUGGCAAAUAGUAAACCUGUUAUCUUUGUUAAAACCUAAAAUUUAAGAGAAAAUGGAGAAAUAAAAACAAACAGGAAAACUGG
rnacentral:lncRNA from 1 species